rnacentral:rRNA from 1 species
GAUGAACGCUGGCGGCGUGCCUAAUACAUGCAAGUCGAGCGAAUGGAUUGAGAGCUUGCUCUUAAGAAGUUAGCGGCGGACGGGUGAGUAACACGUGGGUAACCUGCCCAUAAGACUAGGAUAACUCCGGGAAACCGGGGCUAAUACCGGAUAACAUUUUGAACCGCAUGGUUCGAAAUUGAAAGGCGGCUUCGGCUGUCACUUAUGGAUGGACCCGCGUCGCAUUAGCUAGUUGGUGAGGUAACGGCUCACCAAGGCAACGAUGCGUAGCCGACCUGAGAGGGUGAUCGGCCACACUGGGACUGAGACACGGCCCAGACUCCUACGGGAGGCAGCAGUAGGGAAUCUUCCGCAAUGGACGAAAGUCUGACGGAGCAACGCCGCGUGAGUGAUGAAGGCUUUCGGGUCGUAAAACUCUGUUGUUAGGGAAGAACAAGUGCUAGUUGAAUAAGCUGGCACCUUGACGGUACCUAACCAGAAAGCCACGGCUAACUACGUGCCAGCCGCCGCAGUAA